rnacentral:rRNA from 1 species
UACGGAGGGGGCUAGCGUUGUUCGGAAUUACUGGGCGUAAAGCGCACGUAGGCGGGUUGUUAAGUCAGGGGUGAAAUCCUGGAGCUCAACUCCAGAACUGCCUUUGAUACUGGCAACCUAGAGACUGGAAGAGGUUAGUGGAAUUCCCAGUGUAGAGGUGAAAUACGUAGAGAUUGGGAAGAACACCAGUGGCGAAGGCGGCUAUCUGGACGGUUUCUGACACUAAGACACGAAAGCGUGGGGAGCAAACAGG